rnacentral:rRNA from 1 species
GACGAACCGUGCGAACGUUAUUCGGAAUCAUUGGGCUUAAAGCGCGUGUAGGCGGAUGGGAACGUCGGCUUUGAAAGCCCCCGGCUCAACCGGGGAAUUGGCGCCGAAACGACCCGUCUCGAGGGGCAUAGGGGGAGCUGGAACUUCCGGUGGAGCGGUGAAAUGCGUUGAGAUCGGAAGGAACGCCCGUGGCGAAAGCGAGCUCCUGGAUGUCUUCUGACGCUGAGACGCGAAAAGCUAGGGUAGCGAACGGG